GGGACCCCAAAGGAAGCCCGGAUAUGGAGUCUUGGAGAGAAUCCUCCAUCCUCGACUUAACGUGUCAAACUCUGGGGCUGGGGAAGCUAAGUCCCUUCAUCAGGAAGGAAAAACCAGGCUUCCCCAUUUGGACCUUGCGCGGCCGGCCUCGCCCGCCGGCUCCCAGGGGAGAAGGCGCGGGCCCGUGCGGGGCGCGGCCCCACCGCCUCGCACGCCGGGCCCCUCCCGCCGCAGAGGGCGCGCUCGCGCCCGGGCGGGCACCUGUCCCCUCCCCACCUUCGGCGGCUCCGCGGACCAAGCAAGGGUCCGACGCCCCACAGCCACUACCAGCUGGGGACCGCCGGCAGCAGGGCGAGCGCCGCAGGCCCAGUGGGCUGCAGGAAUCCUCCGAAACUUACAGUUUUCCUACAGCGUGCGCGUCACGGCGAGGUGACGUCACGGGCCCCGGCGUUCCGGGAGGUCAGGCCGCAGGGCGCGGACCACUCGGCCCCACGGCUCCGCCCCAGCGCGCCGGCGGGAGGGACGCCCCUUUGCUCAGCGGCCCCGCCCCCGCCGUGGAGCGCUGGGCGCAGGCGCGGAAAGCGCGGCCGCCGCCUGGCGGGCUUCGCAGGCCGGGACGCUUCGGGCGGGGGCUGCUUUGCUGGAGCUUCGUUUAAAGCGUGUGGCGGGGGUUCAAUAGAAGGGGACGAAGACCCCCGGGAACACAGCAAACAGGCUGUCGCCCAGGUGGUCGGAGUGGGACGCCAGAGUUGUGAGGCACUGCAUCAUCUCAUUUAAUCCUUGCAGCUGGUUGAGAAUCAAGACCAAGGGAAACAAAAUCCCACUUGGCAACCCCCACGCAUCCCUCUCAGCGCCCGGAUCUGGUCUGAAAGAUCUGUUCCCAGGUUUUUGCCAUCAUCAGGAGUAUGAUACACACACACAGAGAAACCACAUAGGCUAAGCCUGGGCCCUCUCUGCCCGUGAACUCUCUAUCCACAGAGUUUAACAGGGAGCCAACUUGCAAAGCAAAAACAUGGUUUUCAGAGUUUCAGCCCCAGCAUCAUAAGCAAAGCAUCAAAGGGAAAACGGUCCUGAUGACUUUGCCCAGUUUUUAAACUUGGAAUUGUCUUACAUGGAACUGAAAAGCCCUCGCACACAAGGAGAUUAAUCUCACGGUGUUGAAACUUUUGGAAACCUGGCAUGGAAUUUUCUUCGUAGAUUUGAAAUUCAACUAAGAGAGAUCUACAAUUAGUAAACAAAUAUGGGGAAGUGUUCAACCUCAUUAGCAAUCCAAGAUAUACAAAUCAGAGCAGCAAUAAGAUAACCUUAAUAGUUUGGAAUAGUGCUGGUUUCUAGUGCUGGCUGCCUUGCUGUUACUUCUACUUUGAAAUGUUGCUGGAGGUAGUACAAUUGAGACAAACCCUAUAAAAAAUAAUUUGGCAAUGCAUUUCAAGAACCACAAAAUAUUCUGGAUCUGUAUUUUUUGAAAAUGAAAUUGGAAUCUACAAAAUAAGAAAAAAACUAUAUGCAUAAGAGUUUUUGUGUCACCUUUAUUUACAAGAUAGUCAGUGUACCUGGAACUGCUGUUAAUUAGUUCAGUAGAUUGUCUGAGGUUUUGUGUCCCUUAGACGCAGAGCCUGCGAUGGGGAUCAUUGUGCAGUGAUUUCGUGAGAGUGCUUGCAG
rnacentral:lncRNA from 1 species